UACGGAGGGGGCUAGCGUUGUUCGGAAUUACUGGGCGUAAAGCGCACGUAGGCGGGCUGGAAAGUCAGGGGUGAAAUCCCGGGGCUCAACCCCGGAACUGCCUUUGAAACUUCCAGUCUUGAGGUCGAGAGAGGUGAGUGGAAUUCCGAGUGUAGAGGUGAAAUUCGUAGAUAUUCGGAGGAACACCAGUGGCGAAGGCGGCUCACUGGCUCGAUACUGACGAUGAGGUGCGAAAGCGUGGGGAGCAAACAGG
rnacentral:rRNA from 1 species